GUUUGUGGGGUGGGACACAAUUCUUGGAGAAUAUUUAAAGUCGAAAUGCUUGGCCAACUGAACGCCAUCACACGACUCGACUUGCAAACAUCAUCAGACUGCACACUGCACACAUGGCAUCAGCAUCUGUCGUCUGCUUCUUGGUCGUACUCGCCCUUGCAGUCUCUAACGUGCACGGCUGGUGCGGCCUGUUAUUUGGAGGUCAGUGCGCUGCAGCUGGUACCUGCCCCAGUGGUAACGGUUUUUCUCGAUUUUGUGCAGUAGGUCAGCAGUGCUGCCUGCCAGCAGGAAUUCCUGUCUGUGCAAGAAAUUCUGAAUGCCAACAACGCGGGUGGGUAGCCAAAGGCUUCAUAAACGGGGACAGGGUUUGCUGUCCUGCGCAGUCGCAAGGUCUUUUGACCAUCGACAGGCAGUGCUUUUGCAGGAUGCCUAGCGCUUAAAAAAUGUCUCAGUCGACUGCACUACAUGGCCGCACCAGACAUGAGCUCGGGCAGAAUCCAUUAACACUGUCAACUACCACGCAGGAGAGCAAAGCAAUCCCGCUAAAACAAAUGUAAACAGCAAUAUCAAACUGUGGCAAGUGUAGGAAUGACUGGGGCAUUGAUCGAGCCAUCAGAAAGACUUACUCAUGAACAGGACAGUCGAGACAGAAAUGAAUGACUUUGACAAUCUCUGUAUUAAACCGACACAAACAACUGUUAAAGUACUUGCUCUAAAUACUUUAGUAUCUGUGUAUGAUUUAAUUAAGAUUUCGCUUUAACUUCGGAGGCUUUAUCUGAAUACUUUUCCCGUACAUUUAAUUGUUUUUUCACAGCUGUAUAUGAAUAUAUUUGUUUUCAACAUCAAGUGAAGAUCUGCAUGGUUGAAUCUGGAAAUUUGUGUGUGUGUGUGUGUUUUAUAUUGUUUGUUAAGAAGUAUUGUGUGUCACUGCUGCUUAAGAGUGCGUGAGUGUAACAGAUUGCUCAAUUUCUUUGAAGGUUACAAAUGUAUCAGUGAAACGAUCGAAUGUAUUACCCAGGCUUACGCUGUGUCACAGAAAGAUUUUGAUUAGCUUGUAAAGCCCGAGUGUGUCGCGAAAGUAUUUUAAAUCGUUGACAAUGUCCAUUAUGUUGUGUGGAAAGAUUUAUUUGUAAAGUUAUUAUGCCUGCUUUUCAUAGACAAAUUUGCAUUGCGAAACAGUUGACAAAAAACUGCGAAAAAUCACCAUAACAAAUAUCUUUAAAGAUUUGUGGUUGUACUGUCUGUAAGGAUCCCGGAGAGAAAGUUUUUAGGAAGCAGGAUGAAAGAGUGUGUUUCUAUGCACCACACCUCCCAACCUUGUUGUUAAUUUUGACAGUACAAACCAUAGGUUUAUGUAACUGGCUCGAUACACAUGUCAUGACAUGAUAUCACAUGUUUUUUCACUCCGGGAAACUAUUGCACAUAAAUACUCACAAACGAACAGGAGACUGGUUAGAAUUUCCUGGAUAAUCCAAACCGUACAAUAAAUCUUUAUAAGACCAUUAAAACGAUAAAUGUUACAUUUUUUAUUUCUAUGUAAACUGAUUUUUCAGCAAAGAGUGCAUUGUGAUGGUGCAGAUUUUGUACAUAUUGGUCAGAGGAACAUUGUUGCACGUGAUAAUAAUUUUUGCUGUUAUACAAAAAUUAAAGAUUAUUUCAAACA